GUAGGUGGCAAGCGUUGUCCGGAAUUAUUGGGCGUAAAGCGCGCGCAGGCGGUCCUUUAAGUCUGAUGUGAAAGCCCACGGCUCAACCGUGGAGGGUCAUUGGAAACUGGGGGACUUGAGUGCAGAAGAGGAGAGUGGAAUUCCACGUGUAGCGGUGAAAUGCGUAGAGAUGUGGAGGAACACCAGUGGCGAAGGCGACUCUCUGGUCUGUAACUGACGCUGAGGCGCGAAAGCGUGGGGGAGCGAACAGGAUUAGAUACCCUGGUAGUCCACGCCGUAAACGAUGAGUGCUAAGUGUUAGAGGGUUUCCGCCCCCUUUAGUGCUGCAGCUAACGCAUUAAGCACUCCGCCUGGGGAGUACGGUCGCAAGACUG
rnacentral:rRNA from 1 species